rnacentral:lncRNA from 1 species
AGGCGUCGCUCCGAUAACGCGCAUGCGCGCGGAAAGCUCGGCGCAGGCCUAGUGGCACGUUGCCAAGGGGUUGGGCGGUUGUUAGGUCGGCGGGCCGGCCCGAGCCAUGUCGGCCGCGCUGCGGAGUCCGGAGCCGGCAGGGAGCGGCGAGUCUGAUGUCUUUGAAAUUGACCUUCCCAUCACUAUCUUUGUGCUGAGUGAUGAUGAUUUUCUAGAAAGUGAAGAUGAAGAGCAGGCAAUCUUGAGUGGUGGUGAUAUUUUGAAGAGUGAAGAAGAAGAGGUGGUCACUUCCAAUGAUGGUGAUCUAAAAAAUACCCAAGAGGAAAAGCGGGUGCCUUCAAGUGAUGACGAUCUAAGGAGUCAAAUGCAGCCCAGCUUGAAUGAAGAAGUUGUUCUAAAAUGUCCAGAGAGAGAGCAGGUUACUCUAAGUGUGUUUGAGAAAUUAAAUUCACCCCAAGUUUCUAUAAGUGAUCAAUAUGCUCUGGGCAGUAGCAAACCCAGCCAAAAUUAUCUGUCAUGUCCGUCAGCUCCCAGAAUGGACCCUGGAGAGGUAAAUGGAUGUGUCGAAAGCAAAGAAUGCAAGGAUGACAUCGAUUGCCAAAAGGUUCCUGUUCCAUUCUUAUGUGGUGACAAUAAGGAUAGAGAUGGUCUGACUAUUGAGACAACUAGACAGUUGAUUCCAAGAGCAAUAUUUAAAGAUGGAAAGGAAUGUGAGACUUCUGCAAUCAGUUCCACUGACAACAAUCAAGAGUGCCAGCCAGCACUCCAUUGUAAACAAGCAGAGAGAUGUGUUGAGACUGAAGGUACUGUCCCUUUAGAGACAGCAAAGAAUAAAACCGAUGACAGAACAAGAAUGAGAAAUGGCUCUACAGAUGAAACUCUGAAUUAUGGGAUGGAUAGCAACUUUGAAGAUCUGAAUGCUGUAAAAGAAAUAGAGCAAGUCCAAAGUAUUUUUUUUACUUGUUUUAAUGGUGACUUUUCUACAGCAGGAGAGUUGCUAGAAGACGUAGGAGACUUGGCAAUGAAUGCUUGUGAUAAUCCUGGAUUAAAUAUUUCUGAAGAGUUUAUUCAUCAGUCUGUAAUUCAUUCUCCCAGGGAGAUGGAUAAGCAAGAAGAUUGUGAUGUUUCUCAUGUGAUUAUAAAACAUCCGAAUGUAAAGCAGCAAGAAGAGACAUUCCUACUAGGUAAUGAGCAUAACAGCAAAGCUCUUUCUACGGGAUCUUGUUCUACGUGCAAGCAUGAGAAGACACUGAAUGUGAAAUGCAGGUUUUGUAGCUGUGUGUGUACAAGUAAAAAUAUUCUAAAGAAACAUAUUCAUUCAGCACAUCAGGAUAAAAAAAUCCACAAAUGCUGCUUUUGCCAAAGAAGCUUUUUCUUUUCUGUCAGUGUUAAACGCCAUCUUAAAUUUCAUAAGAAAAUGACCAGGUUGAAAAAUACAAGAAAAGGUAGAAGUAUGAACACUGAAAAAGCCAGGAACAAGAACCCAGAAAAAACACAAUCUGUGAAUAAAAAAAAGGAAAG